rfam:Schistosoma rodhaini strain Burundi genome assembly, scaffold: SROB_scaffold0002322
AUCCGGCUGACGAGUCCCAAAUAAGACGGGAUGUAUGUCCUGGAU